UUUCUUCCCUUUACAGCAAAUUUGGACACUGCUGAACCUCUGUCCUCGUUGUGGUUGGCUGAGCCUGUGAAGGGUGAAAGAGUUUCACCCUGGCAGUGCCAGUGAUGAAUUUUACAAGGAAAAAUCACCUGUUCUGCAGUUUCUACUUCACCUCCUUUCCAUUAAAAGAUGCUCCACUGGUGGCUGCACACCCCCAUGUAUUUGCUGACUUUACAUUGUAAACAAGGCUGAAGAUAACCUAAAAGAAGAAUCCUGCGACUGAACCACCUUUGCAGUUUACUGUGGGCUUACUCUCUCCAUGACAAAGACCAGUUCCACACAAGGGAUCUGUAUAGAAUCCAGCAAUUCUGAAGAGACUUGUAAAAUACUUGCUGUGAUUUUUAAAAGUUUUAAUGCCUGAGGAGGCUUUGGUCUGCUUUGGCUAUAUACUACUACUUAAGGAAGGAAAAGAAUACAAAACCACACAGGGUAAUCUUUUCCUCCAGGAAUUUAAUUCUGUGCUAAUAGUAGCUUCUCAGGAGUAAUUCAGCCUUGAGUCUUAACUACUCAUAGCUUGGAGAAAAAUCCACUGAUAGUGUUGCCUCGGUCUUCUGAAAGUUUUUCUGAGCUCAAAAAUGCAAUGUAGCAAGUCUGCUGAAAAAUCAGAACUUGUCUGCAUGCUACAAGUUGGAAUUAAGAAAUGUUUAUGUAAUACUUUCCUCUGGUAGCUCUAUAACAACCACAAUUGAAAAUCUCCCAUAUAAAUAAAGGCAUUUAAAUAUACACAGUGAGUGCUAACUGGCCAGAUAACCUGUGUUUGAAGUGUGUGGAUACAUGCCUCAAAUGUGUGUGCAUACACACAAACCUGUGUGCACACAGAGUUAAUGAGUUUUCUUUCCUGGAACAAAGCUCUUUCAGCACAUGGAGUUCCUUGUGUCAAAGAGAAUUUUCAAGUACUAGUCGUUUAGAUAGCACUGACAUAUCAAAUAGUGUUGUUUGAUCCUGUCCAUUCUGAAAUCUUUAACAUCUAACACCAAAGUCAGCUUUCUUUCUUUCUGUGUGCAUCCUCCAUGUGUGUCCAUCCUUGUAAUGAACUUUGGCUGAGCUUCAGCACUUCGAGUUUUAGAAAAAAAAGCAUCCAAAGGCAGACAACAAAUCUGGUGAAGGAUCUAGAGAAAAAUCUUUUGAGGAGCAGAAAAGGGACCUGGGAUUGUUUAGCCUGGAAGAAAGGAGGCUCAGCGGAGACCUUAUCACUCUCUGUGACUACCUGAAGGGAGGUUGUAGCAACGUCAGGACUGGUCUCUUCUCCCUGGUAACAGGCAAUAGAACAAGAGCAAAAGGCCUCAAGUUGUACCAGGGGAGGUUUAAAUUGGAUAUUAAGAAAAAUUUAUUCAUCAAAAAAGUUAGGAAACUUUAGAAUGGGCUGUCCAGAAAAGUGGUUGAGUCACCACCCCCGAAGACACAUAGGUGUGGCACUUAGGGACAUGAUUUAGUGGUGAACUUGGCAGUCUUAGGUUGGACUCUGUGAUCUUGAAGGUGUUUUCCAACCUCGAUGAUUCUAUGAUGCUGUGAUUCUUUUCAAAUCAGUCACAUUUCCUGAGUUAGAGACAAAGCUACAGCAGAUCUGAGCUACGGCAGAUUCAAUUCCUCACCUUUACAGGUUACAUCAAGCCGCCUUUGCCUAAAUCCUGGGUUCCCUUGUCUUGAAGGCAUGGCAGAACACAUAUUUAUUUUGCUCCUGUAGCAACCAGUAAUUAUAAACUCUUACUUCUGCUGAGACUCUUGGGUUUGCCCCAGUCAAAUUGAGGGGACUCAAACUGAUGAGUUUGCAACAGAGAUUGGAAUAAUUUUGAUGGAACUGUUAAUAUAACUCAGAGGGUUCAACUUUUACAGGAAAAAUAGAGCAUUUUGCUGGAAUACUUUCAUGAUCUCCAUGGCAUUUUUCCUCAGGAACUGCAGUGGGUGGUUUCUAAUAUUGCUGUUGAUGAAGGCAUACACUACACAUAAUUGAAGGUAACAAGACAUGGUUUGCAUGGUGAGUUUCACUUACAUCCCCCACAGACCUUCAAGCUGUUCUGUGGAAGAACUAAGCUACGUAUCAUAGCUCUUGCUGCUGUUGCUCAUGAUACCUACUAUGGCGUAAGUACCACUAUGGAGGCCAAAAUGUGCAGGUACUUCAAGUGCAUAAGCUCAGCUUCCUACAAGGGUAGAUGCUGACCACUGCUAGUGAACAAAAUCAGGUGACUAAAAGUCACCUAAAUCACCUAAAUCACUUGUCAAAUGAAAUUUCUUUUGUUCAUGGAGCACAAAGACACCCAGAGCAUGCACUGCAAGUUCCUGUGGCCCUUUGGUCAUGACAAAAGUACAUGAAUAAUUUACUCACAUUUUAAUAGGACCAAUGCUUACUUAGCGCAGCAUCUGGGAGAUUCCUAUUUUCUCUAUUUUUUUAUCUGUUUAACCUGCUGAUAUGUCAAUUAAAUGGUCAAGCAUGGGAGAAAAAUGGAUUCCUUUCCCCAUGAAGACAUACUUCUUUAGAUAUGCUAGGAGUUUAUAGUAGCUUCUUUUCCACAUGCUAGAGAUGUUUAUUAAUUUGUUUCAUCUGGGCUCCUUCCUCUGUUCCUGCUUCCUUCUUACCCAUGGGAAAAGUGACUACCUUCUUGCCACUUCUCUAAUAUUCAUGUUUGCAUUACUGGAAGAAAAAAAAAUAUCAGUGUUUUCCUGAUCUUUCUUCUCUGCUGGAAAUAAAAAAAAGAAAAAUCUUGUUUGUUUUUAUUUUGACCCUUAUAUUUCUUUCCAUGGAAUAUUUCAAGAACAUAUUUUUGAUUCUCGAAAUGGAUGUGUUUGAAAUCCAGCUGGAAACUUUGUCAUAGCCUAACAAGUUGAUUCUGGUAUUACUUUAAAAUCUGUGAACACAAAUGUGUAAAGGUCAAGCUCCUUUCAUAGGAAUCCUGAUUUGUAUCUUAACACAUUUUGUGACACGUUAAUAGCUUAGAUUGUACUUUCCAGGUAACAGAAUUUUAGUGAAAUCCUAAUUUCAUUAUAUAUAUGAAAAAAUAUAUUCUUCUGUAUUUAUAUUAAAUUUCUUAUGCAAUUAAAACUCCCAAAAGAUUUGUUGGAUCUGUAGGCUAUAUUCUGCCUUUCAGUCAUGGACCUGGCAGAAUGAUAAAUUGUAUUGAAGAUUCAGGCAGAAUCUUAUGAGUGGAAGAAUAAAUGUUCAUAUUAAAACAUAUGGGCAAACAGGAUCUCCUUGAGUGUGUAGCAGCAGCAAUUUGGAUUUCUGAUACCCCAGUGCUCAUGCUGGGAGACAAAUUCUGUUGUCUGAGCUAUCUCUGUUAUGGAUCUUUUUUUCCUGCUUUUGACCUGAGGAAGGAAAUUUGAGAAUCUGAUUAAAAAAAAAAAAAAAAAAAAAAAAAAG
rnacentral:lncRNA from 1 species